AUUGAACGCUGGCGGCAGGCUUAACACAUGCAAGUCGAGCGGUAACAGAGAGAAGCUUGCUUCUCUGCUGACGAGCGGCGGACGGGUGAGUAAUGCCUAGGAAUCUGCCUAGUAGUGGGGGAUAACUUGCCGAAAGGUAAGCUAAUACCGCAUACGUCCUACGGGAGAAAGAAGGGGACCUUCGGGCCUUUCGCUAUUAGAUGAGCCUAGGUCGGAUUAGUUAGUUGGUGAGGUAAUGGCUCACCAAGACCGCGAUCCGUAACUGGUCUGAGAGGGUGAUCAGUCACACUAGAACCGAGACACGGUCCAGAUUCCUACGGGAGGCAGCAGUGGGGAAUAUUGGACAAUGGGGGGAACCCUGAUCCAGCCAUGCCGCGUGUGUGAAGAAGGUCUUAGGAUUGUAAAGCACUUUAAGUUGGGAGGAAGAGCAGUUAACUAAUAUUUGACUGUUUUGACGUUACCGACAGAAUAAGCACCGGCUAACUUCGUGCCAGCCGCCGCGGUAA
rnacentral:rRNA from 1 species